rnacentral:rRNA from 1 species
AAACCAGCACCUCAAGUGGUCAGGAUGAUUAUUGGGCCUAAAGCAUCCGUAGCCGGCUCUGUAAGUUUUCGGUUAAAUCUGUACGCUUAACGUACAGGCUGCCGGAAAUACUGCAGAGCUAGGGAGUGGGAGAGGUAGACGGUACUCGGGAGGAAGUGGUAAAAUGCUUUGAUCUCUCGAUGACCACCUGUGGCGAAGGCGGUCUACCAGAACACGUCCGACGGUGAGGGAUGAAAGCUGGGGGAGCAAACCGGAUUAGAAACCCGGGUAGUCC